rnacentral:rRNA from 1 species
UCGAGAAUUUUUCACAAUGGGCGAAAGCCUGAUGGAGCGACGCCGCGUGGGGGAUGAAUGGCUUCGGCCCGUAAACCCCUGUCAUUCGCGAACAAUGCCUGCGACCUAAUACGUCGCAGGUUGAUAGUAGCGGAAGAGGAAGGGACGGCUAACUCUGUGCCAGCAGCCGCGGUAAUACAGAGGUCCCAAGCGUUGUUCGGAUUCACUGGGCGUAAAGGGUGCGUAGGCGGUCGGGUAAGUCUGAUGUGAAAUCUCGGAGCUCAACUCCGAAACGGCAUUGGAUACUAUUACGGCUUGAGGUCUGGAGGGGGGACUGGGAAUUCUCGGUGUAGCAGUGAAAUGCGUAGAUAUCGAGAGGAACACCAGUGGCGAAGGCGAGUCCCUGGACAGGUCCUGACGCUGAGGCACGAAAGCUAGGGGAGCAAACAGGAUUAGAUACCCGUGGUAGUCCUAGCCGUAAACGGUGCACG